GGAGGAAAAGAAACCAACAGGGAUUGCCUUAGUAGCGGCGAGUGAAGCGGCAAAAGCUCAAAUUUGAAAUCUGGCACUUUCAGUGUCCGAGUUGUAAUUUGAAGAAGGUAUCUUUGGGUCUGGCUCUUGUCUAUGUUUCUUGGAACAGAACGUCACAGAGGGUGAGAAUCCCGUGCGAUGAGAUGUCCCAGACCUAUGUAAAGUUCCUUCGAAGAGUCGAGUUGUUUGGGAAUGCAGCUCUAAGUGGGUGGUAAAUUCCAUCUAAAGCUAAAUAUUGGCGAGAGACCGAUAGCGAACAAGUACAGUGAUGGAAAGAUGAAAAGAACUUUGAAAAGAGAGUGAAAAAGUACGUGAAAUUGUUGAAAGGGAAGGGCUUGAGAUCAGACUUGGUAUUUUGUAUGUUACUCUCUCGGGGGUGGCCUCUACAGUUUACCGGGCCAGCAUCAGUUUGAGCGGUAGGAUAAGUGCAAAGAAAUGUGGCACUGCUUCGGUAGUGUGUUAUAGUCUUUGUCGAUACUGCCAGCUUAGACUGAGGACUGCGGCUUCGGCCUAGGAUG
rnacentral:rRNA from 1 species